UUUUCUCCUCCGCACAGAAGUCGCGCUCGGGCAGCCUGCGCGCUCGCAGCAGGAACCAGGCUCCAGGCGCCGGCGCCGGGGCCGCGGGGAGGAGGCGACUUCGCUCCCUGCGGCGGGCGCGGCCCGGGCGCCCGAGCCUCCUCGGCCUUGGAGAGCAGCGGCGGCGGCGGCGGCACCCCGGGCGCGGUAGGCGGCGCGGGGCACCUGGGACCCGAAGGGUGGGCGUCCGGCCCGGGCGGGGGGCGCGGGGGCCCGGGCGGGGGCGGACGCGGGGAUCGCGGCGCUGGGGGACCGAGUGGGGGGCGCGGGGCCGGGCGCGGGGGAGCGGGUGGGGUACGGGAUGGGGACUCGGGGCGCGGCUCCUCCCGCGGUGGCUUCGGGGGCGCCUCCCUCUCCGCGGAUCCAGGGAAAGGGGCCCGGGCCCGCUCCUCGCUGCCGCCGCUGCAGGGCAGGGGUCCCGGGGCAAGGCCCGGCGGCGGUCUCAGGGCGCGGGGACCGUCGCGACGAGUUGCGGUCCCGAGGAGGGGCCGGGGCGCUCCGGGGCCGUUGACCCGUCCCCUCCUUAACCCGGGGGCAGCGGGACCCCGCUGGGCUGAGUUAGUUUCGCUUUUCCCGCCAGUCCGAGUCGGGAUUGGCGGCGCGGCCCGGUCUCCCGUCAGGGUGCCCCCACCCUCCCGCAGCACCUCCCCCAGGGAGCCUGCCGGGGACACCCGAGCGCCGCCCUCCCCGCCGCCCCGGAGCCGCCGCAGCUUCUCCCAGCAGCGGAGGGAGAGCCGGAGAGUUGUCAGGAAAUCGAUUAAAUCAGAAAAACAAGGGCGGCCUGGGCCCGCGGGAGGACUCGCGGAUGGGUCACCGUCCCCGGGCGUGUGCGGGGCUCGUGGCGUCCAGGUUCCGGUGAGGGGUGAGGACGGGACGGGACGGCCCCCAGGGGAGGGUGCGGGUCUGCAGGAAGAGCGGGUGUCUCUGAGAGUGCAUCUGUAUGUGUGGGUGUCCGAGUGUGUGUCUGUGUGUCUUUGUGAGUGUGUCUGUGUGUGUGUGUGUCUCUGUGAGUGUGUGUGGGGACCAUGCCGGAGGGCCUCUGGUUCCAAGGUGCUGCUUCUCGUGGUGAUUUCUUUGCUUGGUUUUGGAUAG
rnacentral:lncRNA from 1 species